UUCCUUUAGAAAAUAAAUAAAGGUAAUACCUGCUCAAUGUUAUUAAUAAAUAGCUGCGGUAUCUUAACUGCACUAAGGUAGCAUAAUUAAUUGUCUUUUAAAUGGUGACUUGUUUGAAUGGUUUUAUGAGAAAAAGAUUAUUUUUGGUUUAUAGAGAAUUUAUAUUUUAAGGUUAAAAUACCUAAAUUUAAAAGAAAGACGAGAAGACCCUGUUGAGUUUUACAGUUAAUUUACUGUUAAAAUGGGAAAUUUAGUUUCGUUCUGAAACUUAAUUGAUCCUAAAUUUUUUAUUUGGAAAUAGGAUAAAAUUACCACAGGGAUAACAGGACUAUAUUUUCUGAGAGUUCAUAUUGAAGAAAAUGUUUGUUACCUCGAUGUUGAAUCGAAAUUACUCUUUAGUGCAGCCGCUAAUGAAGUGGGUCUGUUCGACCUUUAAAAUUUCACG
rnacentral:rRNA from 1 species